rnacentral:lncRNA from 9 species
ACUCGGUGGCGGAGCGCACCGACUGCCGCCAGGAUGAGGAGGCUGCAGGAACUCACGCCGACGAUGUUGUGGAGGCCGGUGGGAGUGAGAAGACUGAGGCAAAGCCCCGGGCUGGGGGACAUGAGGACGAGGCGGCCCCAGUACCUGAGGUGGAGGUGGAGGAGGAGGCGGGCCAGCCCCGUGAAAAUGGCCAGGAGGAGUCCUUAGCCAUCGCCUGGGCUGAGCCGGAAGACGAGCCUGGCCCCAAGGUAAGCUCACCUUUCUUGAUGUGAGGUUGGAAAAGGUGCCUCCUUUCUUCUUGGAUGUACCUCCUUCAGAAAUGGAAAUCUGAGAAAGUCCACUGUAGAUGAUAUAUGCAGAUUGCUGUGCGGAGGACUGUUGAGUCCAAGUUUGGUACCAAGCAGUAGCUCCUUCCCAGGGGCAUUUGCAAAAGGGACCGCAUCAGUUCCCAAGUGUGCAGUAGGGAGCAUAUGUCUUUGAAGAAGCCGGAAUGUUGUUUUGUCUUGUUUGUCUUUUUUUGCCUUUUCUAGGGCCCCUCCCGCGGCAUAUGGAGAUGAGGUUCCCAGGCUAGGGGUCUGAUCGGAGCUGUAGCCACCGGCCUACGCCAGAGCCACAGCAACGUGGGAUCCGAGCCUCGUCUGCCACCUACACCACAGCUCAGGGCAGCGCCGGAUACUUCACCCACUGAGCAAGGCCAGGGAUCGAACCCGCAACCUCAUGGUUCUUGGUCCGAUUCGUUAACCACUGUGCCCCGAUGGGAAGGCCAAAGAAGCCUGAAUGUUUGUUAAAUGUACGAGGACUUGGGAGAUCUUCCAUGAAAAGCUGGCGCCUUUUCCAAAGGGGUCUUCGCCGUGUUCUUUUGGGGAAACGGACUCAACGCUGCCUUCUGUCUGCGUGCCUGCGGUCCCCAACGGCAGGAAGACCUGUGGCCGCAGUGCAGAGGAUGCUGUGACACUCACCGUGUUUUCUCUUGUCUCAUCACAGGUGGACGGGGCGGACGAUGAAAUCUCUUGGAGCUUGGAGAGUGUGUGUGAGAGCGACCUCGCUGACAGCAACCUCGCAGAAAGUGAUCGAGACUCGGUGGCGGAGCGCACCGACUGCCGCCAGGAUGAGGAGGCUGCAGGAACUCACGACGACGAUGUUGUGGAGGCCGGUGGGAGUGAGAAGACUGAGGCAAAGCCCCGGGCUGGGGGACAUGAGGACGAGGCGGCCCCAGUACCUGAGGUGGAGGUGGAGGUGGAGGAGGAGGCGGGCCAGCCCCGUGAAAAUGGCCAGGAGGAGUCCUUAGCCAUCGCCUGGGCUGAGCCGGAAGACGAGCCUGGCCCAAGGUAAGCUCACCUUUCUUGAUGUGAGGUUGGAAAAGGUGCCUCCUUUCUUCUUGGAUGUACCUCCUUCAGAAAUGGAAAUCUGAGAAAGUCCACUGUAGAUGAUAUAUGCAGAUGCUGUGCGGAGGACUGUUGAGUCCAAGUUUGGUAUCAAGCAGUAGCUCCUUCCCAGGGGCAUUUGCAAAAGGGACCGCAUCAGUUCCCAAGUGUGCAGUAGGGAGCAUAUGUCUUUGAAGAAGCCGGAAUGUUGUUUGUCUUGGUUUGUCUUUUUUUGCCUUUUCUAGGGCCCCUCCCGCGGCAUAUGGAGAUGAGGUUCCCAGGCUAGGGGUCUGAUCGGAGCUGUAGCCACCGGCCUACGCCAGAGCCACAGCAACGUGGAUCCGAGCCUCGUCUGCCACCUACACCACAGCUCAGGGCAGCGCCGGAUACUUCACCCACUGAGCAAGGCCAGGGAUCGAACCCGCAACCUCAUGGUUCUUGGUCCGAUUCGUUAACCACUGUGCCACGAUGGAAGGCCAAAGAAGCCUGAAGUUUGUUAAAGUACGAGGACUUGGAGAUCUCCAUGAAAAGCUGGCGCCUUUUCCAAAGGGGUCUUCGCCGUGUCUUUUGGGGAAACGGACUCAACGCUGCCUUCUGUCUGCGUGCCUGCGGUCCCCAACGGCAGGAAGACCUGUGGCCGCAGUGCAGAGGAUGCUGUGACACUCACCGUGUUUCUCUUGUCUCAUCACAGGUGACGGGGCGGACGAUGAAAUCUGUGAGUAUUCUGGAC